rnacentral:rRNA from 1 species
GAUGAACGCUGGCGGCGUGCCUAAUACAUGCAAGUCGAGCGAACGGACGAGAAGCUUGCUUCUCUUAUGUUAGCGGCGGACGGGUGAGUAACACGUGGAUAACCUACCUAUAAGACUGGGAUAACUUCGGGAAACCUUAGCUAAUACCGGAUAAUAUUUUGAACCGCAUGGUUCAACAGUGAAAGACGGUCUUGCUGUCACUUAUAGAUGGAUCCGCGCUGCAUUAGCUAGUUGGUAAGGUAACGGCUUACCAAGGCAACGAUGCAUAGCCGACCUGAGGGGGUGAUCGGCCACACUGGAACUGAGACACGGUCCAGACUCCUAAGGGAGGCAGCAGUAGGGAAUCUUCCGAAAUGGGCGAAAGCCUGAAGGAGCAACGCCGCGUGAGUGAUGAAGGGCUUCGGAUCGUAAAACUCUGUUAUUAGGGAAGAACAUAUGUGUAAGUAACUGUGCACAUCUUGAAGGUACCUAAUCAGAAAGCCACGGCUAACUACGUG